UACGAAGGGGGCUAGCGUUGCUCGGAAUCACUGGGCGUAAAGCGCACGUAGGCGGACUCUUAAGUCAGGGGUGAAAUCCUGGAGCUCAACUCCAGAACUGCCUUUGAUACUGGGAGUCUUGAGUUCGGGAGAGGUGAGUGGAACUGCGAGUGUAGAGGUGAAAAUUCGUAGAUAUUCGCAAGAACACCAGUGGCGAAGGCGGCUCACUGGCCCGAUACUGACGCUGAGGUGCGAAAGCGUGGGGAGCAACAGGG
rnacentral:rRNA from 1 species